rnacentral:rRNA from 1 species
ACGUUAGCGGCGGACGGGUGAGUAACACGUGGGUAACCUACCUAUAAGACUGGGAUAACUCUGGGAAACCGGGGCUAAUACCGGAUAACACAUGAAACCGCAUGGUUUCAUGAUGAAAGACGGUUUUGCUGUCACUUAUAGAUGGACCCGCGGCGUAUUAGCUAGUUGGUAAGGUAACGGCUUACCAAGGCAACGAUACGUAGCCGACCUGAGAGGGUGAUCGGCCACACUGGAACUGAGACACGGUCCAG